GGCCUGGUGGUCUAGUAGUAUGAUUCCUUGUUAGGGUUUGCCUAAUCUCGAGGAGGUCCCGGGUUCAAUUCCCGGCCAGGCCC